rnacentral:rRNA from 1 species
GGAAGGGGUGUAUUUAUUAGAUAAAAAACCAAUGCCCUCCGGGGCUUUAUGGUGAUUCAUAAUAACUUCUCAGAUCGCAUGGCCUUGCGCCGGCGACGGUUCAUUCAAAUUUCUGCCCUAUCAACUUUCGAUGGUACGGUAGUGGCCUACCAUGGUUUCAACGGGUAACGGGGAAUUAGGGUUCGAUUCCGGAGAGGGAGCCUGAGAAACGGCUACCACAUCCAAGGAAGGCAGCAGGCGCGCAAAUUACCCAAUACCGAUACGGUGAGGUAGUGACAAUAAAUACUGAUACAGGGCUCUUUAGGGUCUUGUAAUUGGAAUGAGUACAAUUUAAACCUCUUAACGAGGAACAAUUGGAGGGCAAGUCUGGUGCCAGCAGCCGCGGUAAUUCCAGCUCCAAUAGCGUAUAUUAAAGUUGUUGCAGUUAAAAAGCUCGUAGUUGAACCUUUGGCCUGGCUGGCUGGUCCGCCUCACCGCGUGCACUA